GUAAAUUUUUUAAAUAAGAUGUAUAACAAAUUUUGCAAUACAAGAAUAAUGGACAAAAACAAAGAUGUAACAUCAUCAAUCAAAUUUUUAAACGGUUGGAAAUUAUCUAUAAAAGCAUUGAUAGGUCUCCAUGAAAGUCUAAGUUGUAAAUACAACACAAUAUAUACAUGACGAUUAAACCAAGACUCAUUAGAAAAUUUUUUUGGGACUGCGUCAACAGGGUGGAAAUGCCAGAAAUCCAACUCCUACACAGGUCAACCAAGGUUUUAAAAAAUUAUUCUGUUUGAGUUAUUUUAGGCACUCCGAGAAAGGAAAUUGUGUAGAUUUUAAUAAAUACAAAAAUAGUUAAGGGUAAUGCAAAGUUUGUUAAUUUAGAUAUAGGACAGGCAGUUUAUAUAAAUAUAGAUAUGCCAACUAAAAAUGCCGUAAAUUAUAUAUCGGGUUAUUUGUUAAAAAAAUGCUUAGAGAAACAUCAAUGUGAUAUGAGCAUUGAAUAUUCUAAACAGCAUAUGCAUUUAUCUGAAGAUAUUCUUUUUAGCUUUUUUAAAAGCGUAUGGAACCAAAGACAGAGAUUCUUUCGGAAAUCUUUUAAUACCUCAGGAGCAUUUUGUAAAAUAUUUAUUUGAAUUAGAAAAAAUAUUCGCAGAAAAUUUUCGGAAAUGUGCAAUAGAAAAUAAUGUGGGGAUAAAUAUCAAAAAAGAUUUAUAUGUACCAGUAAAUCCCCACCCAUGUAAUGAGUUCCCGCAUGAUUGUCUAUUAUCUUUAUAGACAAUAUUAAAAAUUUAUUACACUCUAAAAUAUACAAAUAGAGACUUCAUUCAACAAAAGCCGAGUGUGAGUCAAAAGAUAAAAAACGUGAAAAAUUUGUGAAGAUCUUUUUAUUUUUAAAACCGAGUUCUAAUAUUCUCAACAACCUACAAACAGCUAAACUCCGCAUGCGGCCUGUUUCUUUGGAUUGCGUACUUUAUUAUUUAAAUUGGGUACCUGCAUUUUGAGACAAAAUAUUGAUGUUUUUUAAUGUUUAAAUGAAAGGAUAUGUUUAUAUACAUGUGAUUACCUAUGUAAUAAUAACAAAAGUGUAUGUUUGCCGUCUCUAGUAAUAAGUUUUGUUUGUAUAAAACGAACCAAAACAAACGGUAUAGAAGAAUAGUAGUAGUAUCUAGUACAUUAUUUUGUAGGUUUAUUUAUGCACUACUUUUUAUAAUACUUAUAGAUUACAACAAAGUAAGUUUUAUGGGUUAUAGUUAAUUAUCUCAAACAUUUUAACUUUUUAUACAUUACAAUCAGUUUCGUCAUCACAGAGAUAUUACAUUAUUGGCUCAUUUUGUUACAGGUUUAAGCAUGGAUGAGACAUUAACACAUAGCAGUAAUUUAGUUGAAGAAACAGAAAAUCUCCCCCAUGAUUCCCCCAUUAUCAUCACAGUUAAGGAUGGUCCAAUAGCAUCUAGCUCGAUGUACUGAGUUGGUUGUCAGUGUUAUCAACUGGAGCUGUCUAAUAAUUUUUCGGCAAUUUGCAAGUUUCUAUUGUUGUGUAUGUCUCGGUUAACCUGCUUGACACGCCAUUGAGUUGCGGCACUCUCUGACACUCCAAAAUGGAUUUAAUAUUGGAGAGGCUAUCAGUAGGAGGAUACAAACAAAUUGAGACUGAUGAAUGUAUUAACAACCUACCACUGAAAAAAAGUGAAGACAUUGUCAGAUUUGAGGAAAGACUGAGAAAUCAGGAAAAUUUUGUAAUACAAUUGAGAAAUGUCCUUCAGAUUGUGGGAGGAAGCGAUGCGGGCAAGUUGUCAAGAAGGUG